AUUGAACGCUGGCGGAAUGCUUUACACAUGCAAGUCGAACGGCAGCACGGGUGCUUGCACCUGGUGGCGAGUGGCGGACGGGUGAGUAAUACAUCGGAACGUACCCAGUUAUGGGGGAUAACUAACCGAAAGGUUAGCUAAUACCGCAUACGCCCCGAGGGGGAAAGCGGGGGACCGUAAGGCCUCGCGUAAUUGGAGCGGCCGAUGUCUGAGUAGCUAGUUGGUGAGGUAAAGGCUCACCAAGGCGACGAUCAGUAGCAGGUCUGAGAGGAUGAUCUGCCACACUGGAACUGAGACACGGUCCAGACUCCUACGGGAGGCAGCAGUGGGGAAUUUUGGACAAUGGGCGAAAGCCUGAUCCAGCCAUUCCGCGUGAGUGAAGAAGGCCUUCGGGUUGUAAAGCUCUUUCGGCAGGGAAGAAACGGUCUAGGUUAAUACCUUGGGCUAAUGACGGUACCUGAAGAAGAAGCACCGGCUAACUACGUGCCAGCCGCCGCCGUAA
rnacentral:rRNA from 1 species